GUGACGGAGCGACGCCGCGUGGGCGAUGAAGGCCUUCGGGUUGUAAAGCCCUGUUAGCUGUUUUGAAUGACGGGCGGUGAAUAACUGUCCCGUUUGACGUAAGCAGCAGAGGAAGCACCGGCUAACUACGUGCCAGCAGCCGCGGUAAUACGUAGGGUGCAAACGUUGUUCGGAAUCACUGGGCAUAAAGCGCGUGUAGGCGGUCCGGUAAGUCAGGUGUGAAAUCCCUCGGCCCAACCGAGGAACUGCAUCUGAUACUGCCGAGCUAGAGUGCAGGAGGGGAGAGCGGAAUUCCUGGUGUAGCGGUGAAAUGCGUAGAUAUCAGGAGGAACGCCGGUGGCGAAAGCGGCUCUCUGGCCUGUUACUGACGCUGAGGCGCGAAAGCUAGGGGAGCAAACGGGAUUAGAUACCCCGGUAGUCCUAGCCCUAAACGAU
rnacentral:rRNA from 1 species